rnacentral:rRNA from 1 species
CACGUAGGGCGCAAGCGUUGUCCGGAAUUAUUGGGCGUAAAGAGCUCGUAGGCGGUCUGUUGCGUCCGCUGUGAAAACUCGGGGCUUAACCCCGAGCCUGCAGUGGAUACGGGCAGACUAGAGGUAGGUAGGGGAGAAUGGAAUUCCCGGUGUAGCGGUGAAAUGCGCAGAUAUCGGGAGGAACACCAGAGGCGAAGGCGGCGACCUGGACAAGCACUGACACUCAACUACGAAAGCGUGGGGAGCAAACAGG